rnacentral:tRNA from 1 species
AAAGGGAGACCUAAUUCAGGUAUAAGACGAAAAAAAAGUAGUCCCUACCAAGAAUCAAUCCCAAAGGGUCGGAACGAGGUAUGAGGCUUUCAAACUAGGUUCUGGGUUCAUAAAAGACCUGAAUCAGGAACAAGGGCUAUUAGCUCAGGUGGUUAGAGCGCACCCCUGAUAAGGGUGAGGUCCCUGGUUCGAGUCCAGGAUGGCCCACCUGCACAGGUGGCAAAAACAAGAGAAGCGAGGAAUCAGCACCUUAUCUUAUAUACAUAUAUAAGAGAGAAUGCUGGCUCUGAGUACAGAGUCCAGAGGAACCUUGAAAACUGCAUAGAGCUAGGUGAAAAAGCCAAAAAAGAAGACCGCAAG